GAUGAACGCUGGCGGCGUGCCUAAUACAUGCAAGUCGAGCGAACAGACGAGGAGCUUGCUCCUCUGACGUUAGCGGCGGACGGGUGAGUAACACGUGGAUAACCUACCUAUAAGACUGGGAUAACUUCGGGAAACCGGAGCUAAUACCGGAUAAUAUAUUGAACCGCAUGGUUCAAUAGUGAAAGACGGUUUUGCUGUCACUUAUAGAUGGAUCCGCGCCGCAUUAGCUAGUUGGUAAGGUAACAGCUUACCAAGGCAACGAUGCGUAGCCGACCUGAGAGGGUGAUCGGCCACACUGGAACUGAGACACGGUCCAGACUCCUACGGGAGGCAGCAGUAGGGAAUCUUCCGCAAUGGGCGAAAGCCUGACGGAGCAACGCCGCGUGAGUGAUGGAGGUCUUCGGAUCGUAAAACUCUGUUAUUAGGGAAGAACAAAUGUGUAAGUAACUAUGCACGUCUUGACGGUACCUAAUCAGAAAGCCACGGCUAACUACGUG
rnacentral:rRNA from 1 species